rnacentral:rRNA from 1 species
CCUACGGGCGGCAGCAGUGGGGAAUAUUGCGCAAUGGGCGAACGCCUGACGCAGCGACGCCGCGUGAGGGAUGAAGGUCUUCGGAGCGUAAAGCUCUAUCAGCAGGGAAGAAAAUGACGGUACCUGACUAAGAAGCCCCGGCUAACGACGUGCAAGCAGCCGCGGAUAUAAGGAGGGGGCAAGCGGUAUCCGGAUUUACUGGGUGUAAAGGGAGCGUAGACGGCUGUGCAAGUCCGGCGUGAAAGUCAUGGGCUCAACCUGUGGACUGCGUUGGAAACUGUGCGGCUUGAGUGUCGGAGAGGCAAGUGGAAUGCCUAGUGUAGCGGUGAAAUGCGUAGAUAUUAGGAGGAACACCAGUGGCGAAGGCGGCUUGCUGGACGAUGACUGACGUUGAGGCUCGAAAGCGUGGGGAGCAAACAGGAUUAGAUACCCUUGUAGUC